rnacentral:tRNA from 1 species
GCCUGGCUGGCUUAGUCAGAAGAGCAUGUGACUCUUGAUUUCAGGUCAUGAGUUUGAGCCCCAUGUUGGGUA